rnacentral:rRNA from 1 species
UACGGGGGGGGCAAGCGUUGUUCGGAAUUACUGGGCGUAAAGGGCUCGUAGGCGGCCAACUAAGUCAGACGUGAAAUCCCUAGGCUCAACCUAGGAACUGCGUCUGAUACUGGAUGGCUUGAAUCCGGGAGAGGGAUGCAGAAUUCCAGGUGUAGCGGUGAAAUGCGUAGAUAUCUGGAGGAACACCGGUGGCGAAGGCGGCAUCCUGGACCGGUAUUGACGCUGAGGAGCGAAAGCCAGGGGAGCAAACGGG